rnacentral:rRNA from 1 species
CCUCCCACGACCCCCGUGAUGGGAUGGAAACUGCCAAUCUAGAGUAUCGGAGAGGAAAGUGGAAUUCCUAGUGUAGCGGUGAAAUGCGUAGAUAUUAGGAAGAACACCAGUGGCGAAGGCGACUUUCUGGACGAAAACUGACGCUGAGGCGCGAAAGCCAGGGGAGCGAACGGGAUUAGAUACCCCGGUAGUCCUGGCCGUAAACGAUGGGUACUAGGUGUAGGAGGUAUCGACCCCUUCUGUGCCGGAGUUAACGCAUUAAGUCGACCGCC